rnacentral:rRNA from 1 species
GAUGAACGCUGGCGGCGUGCCUAAUACAUGCAAGUCGAGCGAACAGACGAGGAGCUUGCUCCUCUGACGUUAGCGGCGGACGGGUGAGUAACACGUGGAUAACCUACCUAUAAGACUGGGAUAACUUCGGGAAACCGGAGCUAAUACCGGAUAAUCUAUUGAACCGCAUGGUUCAAUAGUGAAAGACGGUUUUGCUGUCACUUAUAGAUGGAUCCGCGCCGCAUUAGCUAGUUGGUAAGGUAACGGCUUACCAAGGCAACGAUGCGUAGCCGACCUGAGAGGGUGAUCGGCCACACUGGAACUGGGACACGGUCCAGACUCCUACGGGAGGCAGCAGUAGGGAAUCUUCCGCAAUGGGCGAAAGCCUGACGGAGCAACGCCGCGUGAGUGAUGAAGGUCUUCGGAUCGUAAAACUCUGUUAUUAGGGAAGAACAAAUGUGUAAGUAACUAUGCACGUCUUGACGGUACCUAAUCAGAAAGCCACGGCUAACUACGUG